UUCUGGAGAGCGUCUUUGAACCUCUCCUUUUAUUAGGAUGCUUACACUAGGAUCUAGUCCUUUUCCAUCAAUGCCUAAUGUUACAUAUUUUCCUUUAUUCUACUUUGGGUCUGAGGGGUUUGUGAUUAUCAAUUCUAAAGGGUUGCAGCUCCCACUCAUGCAGGAGGGGCUGAUUUUUCCUUUUUGGAGCCAAACAGGAUCUUUUUAAAUCUUCUUUCCAAGUAGCCCAAAUGACACAAGACCAGUAUUGACACAU
rnacentral:lncRNA from 1 species